GAUUAUUCUGUCAUGACUGUUGACCUUCCUGGAAGAUUUUGAAAACCCACACCUGCAAAUGAGAAGGCCCUUCAUGCUUCUUGAGUGUUUGAGCCUUGGCGGUUCCAUAGUGGCUAACUAUACACUAUCUAGAUCCCAAGCCUUUUAUAUGGUCCAACUUGCACCGUUGGUGACCCAUGAAAACAAGCUUAGCAGGUAAGAGCACAGGUUGGAGUCAGACAGACUUGGAUUUGAAUGCUGUGUGACCUUGGGCAAGUAAUUAGCUUUUCUCAAUCUCUGUUUCCUCACCUGGAAAACUGAGAUAAUAAUAACAACUCCCUCACGAGGUAGGUGGAAGGAUAAAGAGCUAACAUGGGUAAAGCAGAGUGCCUGGAACAUGCAGGUAGUCUGAUAAAUGUUAGCUACCACCACCACCACCAUCACUGUUAUCAUCAUCCUCAUCAUCACCAUGAUUGUAUUCAUUAGUUUUAGUCCCAAGUAACAGAAGCCCAUCUCAAAUGAAUUUAAGCAAAGAAAGAAAAUAUUUUGGUUUACUUAAUUGAAAAUUCUCGGCACAGGCUGGAUCCAGAGUUUCAACAAUACCACCUGGGCUCGAUCUCUCUCUCUUCAAAUCCCAUUCUACUUUCCUCUGUCUUGGUUUCAUCCUCUAGCAGGUGGACUGAAGGGCAACUGGAGGACUCUAGCCUCUUCCCACCAAAAGGCCUGUGUAUCCCCAUGGAGAAAGGCAGGGCUGGAUGAAGGCCCAAGCAGGAACCCAGGUUGCCAGAUCUAAGAGGGAUUUAUUUAUUAUAUAGUAUAUUUAUUCAUAUAGUGAUCGUUGUGGAAUAGUUUAAUAACAAUUCAAGAGAUGUUACGGUUAAGUGUUGUGGAGUUUUAGAGAAAAGAGAGAUCACUGACAGCAGGAAAGGAUUCCUUGAGAAGGGGCCUGGGAGGAUGGGAAGGUCAGGAAAGAACAGGACAUAGAGAAGGGCACUCCAGGUGAGGAGAGGAACAUGAACUAAGACCACGAGGUCAGAUUGCGUCUACUGUGUGUUGGGACAAUGGGCAGCCCAGGCUGGUGAGACAGAGGUGUGUGCUGGGAGAAAUGGGAGAUGGCUGGUGGGGCCUGGCGGAGGCUUUAGAAGAGCUCUGAGGUGGAGUCCAGGUCCAAAUCUGUCACAAUAAGAACGAGGGAGUCUUUGAAGAUUUGUGCAUAGAGC
rnacentral:lncRNA from 1 species